GCCUUCGGGUUGUAAAGCACUUUUGUCCGGAAAGAAAUGGCCCUGGCUAAUACUCGGGGUCGAUGACGGUACCGGAAGAAUAAGCACCGGCUAACUACGUGCCAGCAGCCGCGGUAAUACGUAGGGUGCGAGCGUUAAUCGGAAUUACUGGGCGUAAAGCGUGCGCAGGCGGUUUUGUAAGACAGGCGUGAAAUCCCCGGGCUCAACCUGGGAAUUGCGCUUGUGACUGCAAGGCUAGAGUGCGUCAGAGGGGGGUAGAAUUCCACGUGUAGCAGUGAAAUGCGUAGAGAUGUGGAGGAAUACCGAUGGCGAAGGCAGCCCCCUGGGACGUGACUGACGCUCAUGCACGAAAGCGUGGGGAGCAAACAGGAUUAGAUACCCUGGUAGUCCACGCCCUAAACGAUGUCAACUAGUUGUUGGGGAUUCAUUUCCUCAGUAACGUAGCUAACGCGUGAAGUUGACCGCCUGGGGAGUACGGUCGCAAGAUUAAAACUCUA
rnacentral:rRNA from 1 species